AAAAAAUUGGUUUACAACAAGGCUGCUAACUUUUGUUGUGAGUAGUUCAAUUCUAUUC
rnacentral:tRNA from 1 species